rnacentral:rRNA from 1 species
AACGAACGCUGGCGGCAUGCCUAACACAUGCAAGUCGAACGAGACCUUCGGGUCUAGUGGCGCACGGGUGCGUAACGCGUGGGAACCUGCCUUUAGGUUCGGAAUAACUCAGAGAAAUUUGAGCUAAUACCGGAUGAUGUCUUCGGACCAAAGAUUUAUCGCCUUUAGAUGGGCCCGCGUUGGAUUAGCUAGUUGGUGGGGUAAAGGCCUACCAAGGCGACGAUCCAUAGCUGGUCUGAGAGGAUGAUCAGCCACACUGGGACUGAGACACGGCCCAGACUCCUACGGGAGGCAGCAGUGGGGAAUAUUGGACAAUGGGCGAAAGCCUGAUCCAGCAAUGCCGCGUGAGUGAUGAAGGCCUUAGGGUUGUAAAGCUCUUUUACCCGAGAUGAUAACGACAGUAGCGGGAGAAUAAGCUCCGGCUAACUACGUG